AUUAGGUCAUGCGAUUUGAUUAUUUGUAGUUAAGCUAAAAGUAAUUAGAACAGAGUGUCAUGUAAGCGCCUAAUUAUUGAAUUUGGAUUCUCUUUACUGUAGGUUAAUUAAGCCGGCAUUGUUAUAUAUCAUAUGAGGUCACAAAAACAUGUAUGUGAAUUUAUGAGAAAACCUGUCACUUUCAAUUUGACUAUUGACCUUACCAGUAAAAUCGAAUCAAGGCACCAAACAGGAGAAAUUUGGAUAGUCACUCUAUGGUAAUAAUUUUAAUAUUCAUUUUCGAUUAUGUAUUGAAUGAGAUAAGAUAAGAACAUUUAAUUUUGAUUCAGCAUUCAUAAAAAUAUACAACACAAGCACGGAAGAGCUUUUGACCGAAAUUAAAAUGCAUGAAGACAACACAAAAAGCAAUUGUUAUAACAUGCAUUGCAUACAUACAAUUUGAAAUUUCUAUGUGAAGACUUGGUUUAAAAUUUCUUAGGAAAUAAGGAGUAAAGUAACUUAAAACGUUUUUUUACUUGAUUAAGCGUUAGAAAUAAGCACUCAUAAAUUUCGAAUAUAGAUAAUAAUCAUAAAUAACUUUGAUAUUUUCUAAGCAAAGAAAUU
rnacentral:lncRNA from 1 species